rnacentral:rRNA from 1 species
GAUGAACGCUGGCGGCGUGCUUAACACAUGCAAGUCGAACGAGAAGUGAAGACGGAAACCUUCGGGCGGAAGGCUUUAUUUCGAGUGGCGGACGGGUGAGUAACGCGUGGGUAACCUGCCUCAUACAGGGGGAUAACAGUUGGAAACGACUGUUAAUACCGCAUAAGACCACAGCACCGCAUGGUGCGGGGGUAAAAACUCCGGUGGUAUGAGAUGGACCCGCGUUCGAUUAGCCAGUUGGCGGGGUAACGGCCCACCAAAGCGACGAUCGAUAGCCGAUCUGAGAGGAUGACCGGCCACAUUGGGACUGAGACACGGCCCAAACUCCUACGGGAGGCAGCAAUGGGGAAUAUUGCACAAUGGGGGAAACCCUGAUGUAGCGACGCCGCGUGAGUGAAGAAGUAUUUCGGUAUGUAAAGCUCUAUCAGCAGGGAAGAAAAUGACGGUACCUGAGUAAGAAGCCCCGGCUAACUACGUG